UACAGAGGGGGCAAGCGUUGUCCGGAUUUACUGGGCGUACAGCGCGCGCAGGCGGUUACGUAUGUGAGCGGUGACAUCCGCGGGCUCAACCCGCGGCGGCCCGCUUACACAGCGCGACUGGAGGCAGGGAGAGGGAUGUGGAAUACCCGGUGGAGCGGUGAAAUGCGUAGAGAUCGGGUGGAACACCAGCGGCGAAGGCGGCAUCCUGGCCCUGAACUGACGCUGAGGCGCGAUAGCGUGGGGAGCAAACGGG
rnacentral:rRNA from 1 species